rfam:Toxocara canis scaffold45, whole genome shotgun sequence.
CCAACGGCCCUCUUUAGGGCCACAAAUGAAUAGACCAAAAGCGUC